GCCACCUUAGCUCAGCGGUAGAGCAACGGUUUCGUAAACCGUAGGUCUCGGGUUCAAAUCCCGAAGGUGGCU
rnacentral:tRNA from 3 species